rnacentral:rRNA from 1 species
AACCAGCACCUCAAGUGGUCAGGAUGAUUAUUGGGCCUAAAGCAUCCGUAGCCGGCUCUGUAAGUUUUCGGUUAAAUCUGUACGCUCAACGUACAGGCUGCCGGGAAUACUGCAGAACUAGGGAGUGGGAGAGGUAGACGGUACUCGGUAGGAAGUGGUAAAAUGCUUUGAUCUAUCGAUGACCACCUGUGGCGAAGGCGGCUACCUGGACAGAUACUGACGCUGAGGUGCGAAAGCGUGGGGAGCAAACAGG